rnacentral:rRNA from 1 species
AAUGAACGUUGGCGGCAUGGAUUAGGCAUGCAAGUCGAGCGAGAAGGGUUUUGAGGCUUGCUUUGAAACCCGGAAAGCGGCGCAAGGGAGAGUAACGAGUAGUUAUCUACCCCAAGGCCCGGAAUAGCUGCGGGAAACUGCAGGUAAUGCCGGAUAAUAUCCCCGGAUCAAAGGUGUGAUUCCGCCUUGGGAGGAGACUGCUUUGUACAAGCUAGUUGGUAGGGUAAUGGCCUACCAAGGCUACGAUGCAUAGCGGGCGUGAGAGCGUGGCCCGUCUCACUGGGACUGAAACACUGCCCAGACACCUACGGGUGGCUGCAGUCGAGAAUCUUCGGCAAUGGGCGAAAGCCUGACCGAGCGAUGCCGCGUGCGGGAUGAAGGCCCUCGGGUUGUAAACCGCUGUCGUAGAGGAGAAAGGUCUGAUGAAGAAUCAGAUUUGAUCUAUUCUAGGAGGAAGUCCGGGCUAAGUUCGUGC